CCUGGCCACCCUGCCACGCACAGUCCAUAACUCAAAGAGGAGGGGCUCGGCACGGCACACACUCCUACCGGCCACUGGACCCGACGCCAUCGGUGCCGUAAAUAUGUCUGAUGGCUGCACUUUUUGGCAUGUCGGCGGGCCCCAUUGCAGGCACGAAGCAGAGCGGAGCGGAACGCCCAGCCUUUUCGCUAAUGAAAAUGGAUCUGUUUAUAGGGACGACGAGCCACGGCUCGGCUCAAUUGAGUGUGGCUGAAUUUAUGCCGCGGCGACAGGUGCCCCCGGUGGCUCUUCUAUUGCCGCAGCAGCAGCGGCAGCACCUCGGGGCGUGUGCGUAAGCAACUUGAUAUAUUUAUCGGCCUGGCAUUAGAGAGAGUGGGAACGGGAACGUGGCAGCCAAAAGGACUUUCGGUGUUCUCCCACUAAAUGGUGGGGUAGGCUUAGUGCGAACUCAGCUGCUGGGUUAAAAAUGAUCUGGAAAGCGAUUGAUGACUGUGCGCAAGUAGUGCCAGUCUUCAUGGAGUGUUGAUUGAGAUUAUUUUGGGUAAGACCCAACAAGCAGUACAACUGUGGAUUAUUGCACAUUCCACCGCCCAUUUCUGUCUAUAUUAUUUUAACAUAAGUAAUAAACUGCGAAGUAGAUCUUUAUAAUACUUUUUUCUUUCAAUUCUUUCAGCUUUAAGCAAAACCAACAACUAUUGGCGGCUCUUGGCACACCCUCCACCACACUCUGCCCGCCCCGCCACUGCAGAUUUACAACACCCCCCAAGUUUGUUGAUUUUUCUCUUACACCAAAAGCUGUCAGUUUUGUAUGCGCA
rnacentral:lncRNA from 1 species